rnacentral:rRNA from 1 species
UACGGAGGGGGCAAGCGUUGUUCGGAAUUACUGGGCGUAAAGGGCGCGCAGGCGGCUGCUCAAGUCAGGCGUGAAAGCCCCGGGCUCAACCUGGGAAUGGCAAUGGAUACUGGCAAGCUAGAGUGCGGUAGAGGGUAGUGGAAUUCCCGGUGUAGCGGUGAAAUGCGUAGAGAUCGGGAGGAACACCAGUGGCGAAGGCGGCUACCUGGACCGGAACUGACGCUGAGGAGCGAAAGCGUGGGGAGCAAACAGG